CUGGAACAUCAGCUGUUCUCUAGGUCUUAAGUCUGCUACUCUAACCUACAAAUUUUGGACAUGCCAAUCUCCACAGUCACAUGGGCCAAUUCCUUAGUUUCUCUGGAGAAUCCUGACUAAUGUAUGCAAUGUCUUUAUUUCAUCCUCAUUCUUAAAGGAUAUUUUCAUCAGCAACACCACACCCUCCUGAUCACCAUAGCUUUAUGCAACAACAAGAAACAAAUUUAUUAGCUAACCUAACCACUAAUGACGCAAGAGACAAUUCUAAGGACUUUCAAAACAGCAAAGUAGGAGCAGCUGCUACCUCUAGGGAUGAGGGAUGCAAUUGUCCAAUUAUUGGUGAAAUUGUCAUUUCAUGCUAUUGGCUAUUUGAAAUUCCUCCUCUAAUUUCAGAAUAAAUCACUGAAAUUGACAUCGGCCAGUCUGAAUUUCAAGAAAUUACCUGCUGGAGACAAGAGGGAUCUCUUCUUCAGAUUGGCAGUCUGGGGAAGACAGCCUCUAUAGUACUUUAGAACCUGAGAUACCGUGGUGGAGGGAGCCCUGGGUCAGUAGGAGUGGGGUCGAGUGGUAAGAUUCACCCUUAGGCUAGUAUUGACGUAAGGUGACGAGGAGCUGUAGACAAAAGAUUGUAACCAUAAGAACUUCAUAGUUUUUGUAUUUUCAUCGAGUUUAUAUUUGGUGUGUUUU
rnacentral:lncRNA from 1 species